AAUCCAUAGGUUAAUGAGGCGAACCGGGGGAACUGAAACAUCUAAGUACCCCGAGGAAAAGAAAUCAACCGAGAUUCCCCCAGUAGCGGCGAGCGAACGGGGAGGAGCCCAGAGCCUGAAUCAGCAUGUGUGUUAGUGGAAGCGUCUGGAAAGGCGCGCGAUACAGGGUGACAGCCCCGUACACAAAAGCGCAUGUGCUGUGAGCUCGAUGAGUAGGGCGGGACACGUGGUAUCCUGUCUGAAUAUGGGGGGACCAUCCUCCAAGGCUAAAUACUCCUGACUGACCGAUAGUGAACCAGUACCGUGAGGGAAAGGCGAAAAGAACCCCGGCGAGGGGAGUGAAAAAGAACCUGAAACCGUGUACGUACAAGCAGUGGGAGCACAGGUUUACCUGUGUGACUGCGUACCUUUUGUAUAAUGGGUCAGCGACUUAUAUUCUGUAGCAAGGUUAACCGAAUAGGGGAGCCGGAGGGAAACCGAGUCUUAAUUGGGCGUUAAGUUGCAGGGUAUAGACCCGAAACCCGGUGAUCUAGCCAUGG
rnacentral:rRNA from 1 species